CACUGCCGAGAAAAGCCUCUAGAUAGAAAAUAGGUGCCCGUACCGCAAACCGACACAGGUAGUCAAGAUGAGAAUUCUAAGGUGAGCGAGCGAACUCUCGUUAAGGAACUCGGCAAAAUGACCCCGUAACUUCGGGAGAAGGGGUGCUCUUUAGGGUUAACGCCCAGAAGAGCCGCAGUGAAUAGGCCCAAGCGACUGUUUAUCAAAAACACAGGUCUCUGCUAAACCGUAAGGUGAUGUAUAGGGGCUGACGCCUGCCCGGUGCUGGAAGGUUAAGAGGAGUGGUUAGCUUCUGCGAAGCUACGAAUCGAAGCCCCAGUAAACGGCGGCCGUAACUAUAACGGUCCUAAGGUAGCGAAAUUCCUUGUCGGGUAAGUUCCGACCCGCACGAAAGGCGUAACGAUUUGGGCACUGUCUCAACGAGAGACUCGGUGAAAUCAUAGUACCUGUGAAGAUGCAGGUUACCCGCGACAGGACGGAAAGACCCCGUGGAGCUUUACUGUAGCCUGAUAUUGAAAUUCGGCACAGCUUGUACAGGAUAGGUAGGAGCCUUUGAAACGUGAGCGCUAGCUUACGUGGAGGCGCUGGUGGGAUACUACCCUAG
rnacentral:rRNA from 1 species